rnacentral:rRNA from 1 species
AGAGUUUGAUUCUGGCUCAGGAUGAACGCUGGCGGCAUGCCUAAUACAUGCAAGUCGAACGAGGUUUAAUAGCUAGCUUGCCAGUUGCUAAACCUAGUGGCGAACGGGUGAGUAACACGUGGGUAACCUGCCCUUCAGUUGGGAAUACCUAGAGGAAACUUUAGUUAAUACCGAAUACGUACGAGAGAGGCAUCUCUUUCGUAUAAAAGAAGCGAUUGCUUCGCUGAUGGAUGGACCCGCGUCGCAUUAGCUAGUUGGUGAGGUAACGGCUCACCAAGGCUCGGAUGCGUAGCCGACCUGAGAGGGUGAUCGGCCACAAUGGGACUGAGACACGGCCCAUACUCCUACGGGAGGCAGCAGUAGGGAGUUUUCGGCAAUGGGGGGAACCCUGACCGAGCAAUGCCGCGUGAAUGAUGAAGGUCUUUGGAUCGUAAAGUUCUGUUGUCGCUAUGGAAAACCUAGAGGAGGAAAUGCCUUUAGCUUGACCUGGCUUCCAGAAAGCCACGGCUAACUACGUGCCAGCAGCCGCGGUAAUACGUAGGUGGCAAGCGUUAUCCGGAAUUAUUGGGCGUAAAGAGUGAGCAGGCGGCAGUUUAAGUCUGAAGUCAAAUGCAGUGGCUCAACCACUGUCCGCUUUGGAAACUGAACAGCUAGAGUACGAGAGAGGUAUGUGGAAUUCCAUGUGUAGCGGUGAAAUGCGUAGAUAUAUGGAGGAACACCAGAGGCGAAGGCGGCAUACUGGAUCGAUACUGACGCUCAGUCACGAAAGCGUGGGUAGCAAAUAGGAUUAGAUACCCUAGUAGUCCAC